GAAUAGGGAGCGAGAGUGUUUGCGUUUAGUUUCGACCUAAAAGUUUGGUGUUGACUCCUAUUUU
rnacentral:tRNA from 1 species